rnacentral:rRNA from 1 species
CCGCUUUUGGAUGGGCCCGCGGCGCAUUAGCUAGUUGGUGGGGUAAAGGCUUACCAAGGCAAUGAUGCGUAGCCGAACUGAGAGGUUGAUCGGCCACAUUGGGACUGAGACACGGCCCAAACUCCUACGGGAGGCAGCAGUAGGGAAUCUUCCACAAUGGGCGAAAGCCUGAUGGAGCAACGCCGCGUGGGUGAAGAAGGUCUUCGGAUCGUAAAACCCUGUUGUUAGAGAAGAAAGUGCGUGAGAGUAACUGUUCACGUUUCGACGGUAUCUAACCAGAAAGCCACGGCUAACUACGUGCCAGCAGCCGCGGUAAUACGUAGGUGGCAAGCGUUAUCCGGAUUUAUUGGGCGUAAAGGGAACGCAGGCGGUCUUUUAAGUCUGAUGUGAAAGCCUUCGGCUUAACCGGAGUAGUGCAUUGGAAACUGGGAGACUUGAGUGCAGAAGAGGAGAGUGGAACUCCAUGUGUAGCGGUGAAAUGCGUAGAUAUAUGGAAGAACACCAGUGGCGAAAGCGGCUCUCUGGUCUGUAACUGACGCUGAGGUUCGAAAGCGUGGGUAGCAGGCAGGAUUAGAUACCCUGGUAGUCCACGCCGUAAACGAUGAAUGCUAAGUGUUGGAGGGUUUCCGCCCUUCA